rnacentral:rRNA from 1 species
UGGGGAAUAUUGCACAAUGGGCGGAAGCCUGAUGCAGCGACGCCGCGUGAGGGAUGACGGCCUUCGGGUUGUAAACCUCUUUCAGCAGGGACGAAGCGCAAGUGACGGUACCUGCAGAGGAAGCACCGGCUAACUACGUGCCAGCAGCCGCGGUAAUACGUAGGGUGCGAGCGUUGUCCGGAAUUACUGGGCGUAAAGAGUUCGUAGGCGGUUUGUCGCGUCGUGUGUGAAAUCCCACAGCUUAACUGUGGGCUUGCAGGCGAUACGGGCAGACUUGAGUACUGCAGGGGAGACUGGAAUUCCUGGUGUAGCGGUGAAAUGCGCAGAUAUCAGGAGGAACACCGGUGGCGAAGGCGGGUCUCUGGGCAGUAACUGACGCUGAGGAACGAAAGCGUGGGGAGCAAACAGGAUUAGAUACCCUGGUAGUCCACGCCGUAAACGGUGGGUACUAGUUGUGGGUCCCUUCCACGGGAUCCGUGACGCAGCUAACGCAUUAAGUACCCCGCCUGGGGAGUACGGCCGCAAGGCUA